CGUGUAGGCGGGAAUGCAAGCCAGAUGUGAAAUACCGAGGCUUAACUUCGGAGCUGCAUCUGAAACUGCGUUUCUUGAGUGUCGGAGAGGAAAGUGGAAUUCCCAGUGUAGCGGUGAAAUGCGUAGAUAUUGGGAGGAACACCAGUGGCGAAGGCGACUUUCUGGACGAUAACUGACGCUGAGGCGCGAAAGCGUGGGGAGCAAACAGGAUUAGAUACCCUGGUAGUCCACGCCGUAAACGAUGGAUACUAGGUGUGGGAGGUAUCGACCCCUUCCGUGCCGCAGUUAACACAAUAAGUAUCCCACCUGGGGAGUACGGCCGCAAGGUUGAA
rnacentral:rRNA from 1 species